rnacentral:misc_RNA from 1 species
GGUGGAUAGCUCAUUAUGUUAGGUUGUAGUCCUGAAUCAGAAGGAAUAUUUUCUAUAUCGACCUCAACUUCCUCAGAAAUCACCUGCUUACGUGGUUUGGUUGAACAGGUUGAUUGAUUGAUAAUGAGUCUGCAGUAUUUGAUUUUCUUUUAAAAAUCGCGCCAUGUAUAUAGAGCUAGCCAAAUGAUUCAAGAAAUUGUGAAGUAGAAAGAAGGAAGAAGCGAGGUGAGGUCAAAGAGAGAAAUAACAAAGAAGAUGAUUUCCUUUGUGGCAGAGCAGUGGAGAAAUGAGUGAUGCAACUGUUUUAAAAAAAUUUUAGGGUUAGGAAGUGAAAUUACUAAUAUACUCUCAAAUUUUUUAAAAAUUUCAGGGGGCUUAGUGCCUCUCUUGGUUUAGUGUUGCCUCUGUCCCUGAGUAGAAAGAAGGAAGGAGUGAGGUGAGGUAAAAGAGAGAAAUAGCCAAGAGAUG